GAUGAACGCUGGCGGCGUGCCUAAUACAUGCAAGUCGAGCGAACGGACGAGAAGCUUGCUUCUCUGAUGUUAGCGGCGGACGGGUGAGUAACACGUGGAUAACCUACCUAUAAGACUGGGAUAACUUCGGGAAACCGGAGCUAAUACCGGAUAAUAUUUUGAACCGCAUGGUUCAAAAGUGAAAGACGGUCUUGCUGUCACUUAUAGAUGGAUCCGCGCUGCAUUAGCUAGUUGGUAAGGUAACGGCUUACCAAGGCAACGAUGCAUAGCCGACCUGAGAGGGUGAUCGGCCACACUGGAACUGAGACACGGAUCAGACUCCUACGGGAGGCAGCGGUAGGGAAUCUUCCGCAAUGGGCGAAAGCCUGACGGAGCAACGCCGCGUGAGUGAUGAGGGUCUUCGGAUCGUAAAACUCUGUUAUUAGGGAAGAACAUAUGUGUAAGUAACUGUGCACAUCUUGACGGUACCUAAUCAGAAAGCCACGGCUAACUACGUG
rnacentral:rRNA from 1 species